rnacentral:rRNA from 1 species
CGAAAGCCUGACGGAGCAAUACCGCGUGAGGGAGGAAGGCCUGUGGGUUGUAAACCUCUUUUCUCAAGGAAGAAUACUGACGGUACUUGAGGAAUCAGCAUCGGCUAACUCCGUGCCAGCAGCCGCGGUAAGACGGAGGAUGCAAGCGUUAUCCGGAAUGAUUGGGCGUAAAGCGUCCGCAGGUGGCAGUUCAAGUCUGCUGUCAAAGACCGGGGCUUAACUUCGGAAAGGCAGUGGAAACUGAACAGCUAGAGUAUGGUAGGGGCAGAGGGAAUUCCCAGUGUAGCGGUGAAAUGCGUAGAGAUUGGGAAGAACACCGGUGGCGAAAGCGCUCUACUAGACCUCAUCUGACACUGAGGGACGAAAGCUAGGGGAGCG